rnacentral:rRNA from 1 species
AACGAACGCUGGCGGCAUGCCUAACACAUGCAAGUCGAACGAGACCUUCGGGUCUAGUGGCGCACGGGUGCGUAACGCGUGGGAACCUGCCCUUAGGUUCGGAAUAACUCCCCGAAAGGGGUGCUAAUACCGGAUAAUGUCUUCGGACCAAAGAUGUAUCGCCUUUGGAUGGGCCCGCGUUGGAUUAGCUUGUGGGUAGGGUAAAAGCCUACCAAGGCGACGAUCCAUAGCUGGGCUGAGAGGAUGCUCAGCCACACUGGGACUGAGACACGGCCCAGACUCCUACGGGAGGCAGCAGUGGGGAAUAUUGGAAAAUGGGCUGAAGCCUGAUCCAGCUAGGCCGCAAGAGUGAUGAAGGCCUUAGGGAAGUAAAGCUCUUUUACCCGGGAUGAUAAUGACAGUACCGGGAGAAUAAGCACCGGCUAACUCCGUG